AGAGUUUGAUCAUGGCUCAGAUUGAACGCUGGCGGCAGGCCUAACACAUGCAAGUCGAACGGUAACAGGAAGCAGCUUGCUGCUUUGCUGACGAGUGGCGGACGGGUGAGUAAUGUCUGGGAAACUGCCUGAUGGAGGGGGAUAACUACUGGAAACGGUGGCUAAUACCGCAUAACGUCGCAAGACCAAAGAGGGGGACCUUCGGGCCUCUUGCCAUCAGAUGUGCCCAGAUGGGAUUAGCUUGUUGGUGAGGUAAUGGCUCACCAAGGCGACGAUCCCUAGCUGGUCUGAGAGGAUGACCAGCCACACUGGAACUGAGACACGGUCCAGACUCCUACGGGAGGCAGCAGUGGGGAAUAUUGCACAAUGGGCGCAAGCCUGAUGCAGCCAUGCCGCGUGUAUGAAGAAGGCCUUCGGGUUGUAAAGUACUUUCAGCGGGGAGGAAGGUGUUGUGGUUAAUAACCGCAGCAAUUGACGUUACCCGCAGAAGAAGCACCGGCUAACUCCGUGCCAGCAGCCGCGGUAAUACGGAGGGUGCAAGCGUUAAUCGGAAUUACUGGGCGUAAAGCGCACGCAGGCGGUCUGUCAAGUCGGAUGUGAAAUCCCCGGGCUCAACCUGGGAACUGCAUUCGAAACUGGCAGGCUUGAGUCUUGUAGAGGGGGGUAGAAUUCCAGGUGUAGCGGUGAAAUGCGUAGAGAUCUGGAGGAAUACCGGUGGCGAAGGCGGCCCCCUGGACAAAGACUGACGCUCAGGUGCGAAAGCGUGGGGAGCAAACAGGAUUAGAUACCCUGGUAGUCCACGCCGUAAACGAUGUCUACUUGGAGGUUGUGCCCUUGAGGCGUGGCUUCCGGAGCUAACGCGUUAAGUAGACCGCCUGGGGAGUACGGCCGCAAGGUUAAAACUCAAAUGAAUUGACGGGGGCCCGCACAAGCGGUGGAGCAUGUGGUUUAAUUCGAUGCAACGCGAAGAACCUUACCUGGUCUUGACAUCCACAGAACUUUCCAGAGAUGGAUUGGUGCCUUCGGGAACUGUGAGACAGGUGCUGCAUGGCUGUCGUCAGCUCGUGUUGUGAAAUGUUGGGUUAAGUCCCGCAACGAGCGCAACCCUUAUCCUUUGUUGCCAGCGGUCCGGCCGGGAACUCAAAGGAGACUGCCAGUGAUAAACUGGAGGAAGGUGGGGAUGACGUCAAGUCAUCAUGGCCCUUACGACCAGGGCUACACACGUGCUACAAUGGCGCAUACAAAGAGAAGCGACCUCGCGAGAGCAAGCGGACCUCAUAAAGUGCGUCGUAGUCCGGAUUGGAGUCUGCAACUCGACUCCAUGAAGUCGGAAUCGCUAGUAAUCGUGGAUCAGAAUGCCACGGUGAAUACGUUCCCGGGCCUUGUACACACCGCCCGUCACACCAUGGGAGUGGGUUGCAAAAGAAGUAGGUAGCUUAACCUUCGGGAGGGCGCUUACCACUUUGUGAUUCAUGACUGGGGUGAAGUCGUAACAAGGUAACCGUAGGGGAACCUGCGGUUG
rnacentral:rRNA from 1 species